rnacentral:sRNA from 1 species
UCCUACCUAAGCUGAUAACCCUAGCGGCUA